CAAUUAAAGAUUACUUUGCUGCUGGCAAUCAGAAAGUUUUCCCUGUGUUUAUACUGAACAUACAGGGAGGGAAGAGCCCACAUUUCUGCAUCUAUAGCAAAGACAUCUCUGUGAGUCCAGGUGAAGACUGGAUGGUCAGGCAGUUUUCAUAACUGCCCUUCCCACCAAGAGAAUCCUUCUACCUGCUUCAGCACAGUGAUGAAAGUCAUGUUAAGAUACUCCUGACAUCUGUCCCUAGUGGCUAAGCACC